GGACUACCCGGGUAUCUAAUCCCGUUUGCUCCCCUGGCUUUCGCGCCUCAGCGUCAGAAGGGGUCCAGCACGUCGCUUUCGCCACCGGCGUUCCUUCCGAUCUCUACGCAUUUCACCGCUCCACCGGAAGUUCCACGUGCCCCUACCCCGCUCGAGAUCGCCAGUAUCCGCAGCACUGCUCCGGUUGAGCCGGAGGCUUUCACCACGGACUUGACGAUCCGCCUACGCGCCCUUUAAGCCCAGUGAUUCCGAACAACGUUCGCACGGUUCGUCUUACCGCGGCUGCUGGCAC
rnacentral:rRNA from 3 species